rnacentral:tRNA from 1 species
GUCCUCGUAGUUCAACGGAUAGAACACUGGUUUCCUAAACUGGUAAUGCAGGUUCGAUUCCUGCCGGGGACA